AUUGAACGCUGGCGGAAUGCUUUACACAUGCAAGUCGAACGGCCUCCCUGGGGCAACCCUGGUGGCGAGUGUCGAACGGGUGAGUAAUACAUCGGAACGUGCCCAGUCGUGGGGGAUACCUUGGCGAAAGCUACGCUAAUACCGCAUACGAUCUACGGAUGAAAGCGGGGGAUCGCAAGCGCUCGCGCGAUUGGAGCGGCCGAUGGCAGAUUAGGUAGUUGGUGGGGUAAAGGCUCACCAAGCCGACGAUCUGUAGCUGGUCUGAGAGGACGACCAGCCACACUGGGACUGAGACACGGCCCAGACUCCUACGGGAGGCAGCAGUGGGGAAUUUUGCAAAAGGUGCGCAAGCCUGAUCCAGCCAUUCCGCGUGCAGGAUAACAGACUUCGGGUGGGAAACUGCUUUUGUACGGAACGAAACGGCCAUGUCUAAUCAAAGAGGCUAAUGACGGUACCGUAAGAAUAAGCACCGGCUAACUAAGUGCCAGCCGCCGCCGUAA
rnacentral:rRNA from 1 species